AACCCUAAGUGUAAUGUUCUUGGUAUAAGCUUUCGUGUGCAUGCGCACUUCUUCAGGUAUCUGAAGAAGCGUGCAUGCGCAUGAAAGCUUAUACCAAGAACAAAAUUAUAU
rnacentral:miRNA from 1 species